rnacentral:rRNA from 1 species
UCGAGGGGUAUAGUAGCAAUACUAGAGACCGGCGCACGGGUGCGUAACGCGUAUGCAAUCUACCUUUCACAGAGGGAUAGCCCAGAGAAAUUUGGAUUAAUACCUCAUAGUAUUAUGAAGUGGCAUCACUUUAUAAUUAAAGUCACAACGGUGAAAGAUGAGCAUGCGUCCCAUUAGCUAGUUGGUAAGGUAACGGCUUACCAAGGCUACGAUGGGUAGGGGUCCUG